CGGGGUAUCACACUAGUAGAAGUUUUGUGUGUGUGGACGGGGUAUCACACUAGUAGAAGUUUGGUGUGUGUGGACGGGGUAUCACACUAAUAGAAGUUUGGUGUGUGUGGACGGGGUAUCACACUAGAAGUAUAACAUUACUUUGUGGAAAAAUUGACGUAAUAAAAGCCACAUGAAUAUAUUUUCAUAAUGUAUCUAAACUGUAGACUUAGGGCAACUAAAAUUAUGUAGUCUACAUAAAUAUGUCAAACACUG